rnacentral:rRNA from 1 species
GACGAACGCUGGCGGCGUGCUUAACACAUGCAAGUCGAACGGAAAGGCCCUGCUUUUGUUGGGUGCUCGAGUGGCGAACGGGUGAGUAACACGUGAGUAACCUGCCCUUGACUUUGGGAUAACUUCAGGAAACUGGGGCUAAUACCGGAUAGGAGCUCCUGCUGCAUGGUGGGGGUUGGAAAGUUUCGGCGGUUGGGGAUGGACUCGCGGCUUAUCAGCUUGUUGGUGGGGUAGUGGCUUACCAAGGCUUUGACGGGUAGCCGGCCUGAGAGGGUGACCGGCCACAUUGGGACUGAGAUACGGCCCAGACUCCUACGGGAGGCAGCAGUGGGGAAUAUUGCACAAUGGGCGGAAGCCUGAUGCAGCAACGCCGCGUGCGGGAUUACGGCCUUCGGGUUGUAAACCGCUUUCGCCUGUGACGAAGCGUGAGUGACGGUAAUGGGUAAAGAAGCACCGGCUAACUACGUG